UGCAGGACAUGCAUGCUGCAUAUAUAGUGCUCGCUGCCGCCCGUCGAUCUUUAGUCUGAAGAGAUCGAAGUACUAGUACAUUCUCAAACCUCAAACCAACCAUAUUUAUGGCGCAAUGCCGCAACACUGUCGGCCAUCUGGCUUCAGUUUUAUUCAUACUAAACACAAGUACAGGAGAGGGUACGGUGUUACACGCUUAGAUUGCAGCUGCAUCGUCUUAGUACGGUGCGUUAGAGUUCCAUUAUUCAUUCACGCCACCACCGUUGUUGCCAACUUUUUCGUUACCAACCGUACCUUACGAGAACAUGAUCGAGGCAGUCAUCACCCAUCAGGGGCGUGGGAUCUCUCCGUUCGGUGGUUGAGCGGGCGUACCAUGGUAUGGGAUGCCACCCCUACCCGGGCGACCAUAGGGAUUGGGGAGACGAUGACCGUAGGGGUAACCAGGUCGUACUGGGCACCUUUCGCCGAUGCAAGCUGGUAGGUCAGGGUGAAAACCGCCGUAACCUAUCGAUGGAAAUGCAUCCAAGCACAUCCAAAUGUUCCUUUUGUUAGCAUCAAAGAAUAAUUCUACCAUAUAUAUUGCUAAACGCCACAAGACGAAGAAACAAGCACUUCAUAGGAUUAUGAUUUAACACAACCCACCGUCGCGCGCUCCGUGGCAAACGGAGCCGCCGCUCAUGAUCACCGCGGAGGCGACGAACAGCGCGAUCUGCAGGAGCAGGAGGAGACGGGCGGUCUUGGCGGAGGACGCCAUCGCGCUUUGGCUGGCAGCGAGCUGCUCUCCCGGCCCCUCUCGGCCCCUGUGACUGUGAGGUGUGCUAGCUGCGCU
rnacentral:lncRNA from 1 species